AAAGAGAAGAAAAGAAAAAGAUAAAGAGGGGAAGAAGAAGAAGCAUUUGUCGUCUGCCACUGCUCGUCCGUUGCCUAUCGCUCUGUGCUCCUCUCUCGUCCUUCGUCGUCAAUUUGCUUGAGAGAUUGUGAAGAUCAAUCAAAUGACGAGGAACUUGGAGAUAUCAUGUUACAUAGUCAAGGAGUACCUAGUGAUAUGCCAAAUAUAGAUGAUAGUAUUGAUUUAGAUGAGAAUAUCUCAACAUAUGUACGAUCAGACUGUGAAGGUACAUGGGUUCGUAAAUAACACAAUGAUAUUCUCCUUACACAUGGAGCUAAAUAUAGUAAGUGAUGAUCAAGACAAGGAGGUUAGUAGAUUAGUGGUUGGAGGAGUUGAUGACCAAAUUAUAGAGAAGCCCAAGAAACAAGGAAGUGGGAACCUACUAUUAUGUUUGAUGUGACUCGGGUUAGAAGUGAAGGUAAGAGGAAAGUGUAGUGGAAUAUAAUCAAGAUGGUGUACAUAUUGGAGAAAACGAAACUCAUUUAUUGGAUCGUGUGUACACUACCACAUCCCCAUUAACUAUCCAUCAUGGAUCGAUGUGCCUACUGAAUUGAAGGACAAUAUCUAUACUAUAGUUGAGGUAAAAUUGCUUAUGGUUUUUGUACAAGUUUAUUUCAAUUGACAAUGUGACACUAACCGAUAUUAAAUCUCAGACUGCAUUUAUAAUUGACAGUAGAUCUAGAAAGAGUGUUCUUAAGAAUGCAGGGACAACAUUCCAUCAAUUCAAGCAUUGGUUGACGAAAAAGCAUAUCUUGGUGUUCAGGAAUGAACCUGAACUUUUGAGACGACCUCCAGAUAUGUAUUCUUACAUUAACCAAGGACACUGGGAAGAAUUUGUUAGAUCCAGACUUUGUCCACAUUUUGAGGUAUCAAUGCAUUUAAGUUUGGAAGUGAAUGUAUUUUGAUUGACAAAAUAUGCAAGAAAUAGGGACAUGACAGUGGAGGGCAGAGCAGUUGUUUUGGUUUCAACCUUAUAAUUGAGAAUUGACUAUCAACAUGACUUUAUCUAAUCUUGAGGUAAGAGAUUCUACUAUUAGACCUUCAACAAUAGAUUAAAGAGCAUGUAUGUUUUCCUCAUUAUGCAUUAAUGUAGCUAUGAUGCAUAAUGUGACUGUUAGGGCUGACUGAUAGUGAUGACUACAUAGAUAAUUGUUAUGUAUGACUGAGAUAUGUAUGACUCAGAUAUGUAUGACUGAGAGAUGUUAUGAUUGAGAUAUGGUAUGACUGAGUUAUGAUACUUAUGAUAUGCUACAUGUCUAGGCUAUGAUGUUCUGUUAGCUUUGUCUAUUAAAGUCUUACCUAUAUAGGUGUCCCUCGGGAUCACCACCAGUAUAUGUUUUAGGAAUGGUUCGAUAGGAUCACUUAGAGCCUGAUUCUUUUAGGUGCCUUCGGAUCACCGAAGACCAGUUUCUCUCAGGUGUUCCUUUGGUAUCACCAAAGAUCACAUUAGAAGCAUGUGUUCGGGAGCACGAUAGUUAUGGUGUACUUCCUUUCAGGACCCUAAUGGAAAUUUAACAGACACCUAAUGGGACUAGUAGUGGGUCUCUUACUAAGUUAUAUGUUUAUACUCACACUUUCUAUGUUUAGUUUUUCAGGCAAAGGUAGAGGUAGAUGAAAGCUGAUGAAUGAUAUGAAGUGGCCGUGGUUCGCCAUAGAAGAAAGUUUAUGUGCUUCCGCCUUUAUGUUUUUAGUAUUUUAAUUUAUAGUAUUUUAUUUAAAAUUUCAAAACUCAUGCUAUGAUAUUUCAUAUUAUUUUAAAUAGGACCCGAAUUGGAAUUUGAUAUUUUACUUUUAUUUCUACUUAAUUUACUUACUAUUUAUAAAUGA